rnacentral:rRNA from 1 species
CCCUUAGAUGUUCUGGGCCGCACGCGCGCUACACUGAUGCAUUCAACAAGUUCUACCUUGGCCGAGAGGCCUGGGAAAUCUUUCAAAUAUGUAUCGUGAUAGGGAUAGAUUAUUGCAAUUAUUAAUCUUGAACGAGGAAUUCCUAGUAAAUGCAGAUCAUCAUUCUGCGUUGAUUACGUCCCUGCCCUUUGUACACACCGCCCGUCGCACCUACCGAUUGAAUGAUCCGGUGAAGCCUCGGGAUUGUGCCCAGAGAACUUUAUUGUGAUUUGGGUGUGAGGACUUGUCUAAACCUUAUCAUUUAGAGGAAGGUGAAGUCGUAACA